rnacentral:tRNA from 1 species
GCAAUGCUGGUUCAGUGGUAGAAUUCUCACCUUCCACGCAGGAGACCCAGGUUUGAUUCCUGGCCAAUGCA